GACGAACGCUGGCGGCGUGCUUAACACAUGCAAGUCGAACGCUGAAGCUUGGUGCUUGCACUGGGUGGAUGAGUGGCGAACGGGUGAGUAAUACGUGAGUAACCUGCCCUUGACUCUGGGAUAAGCCUGGGAAACUGGGUCUAAUACUGGAUACGACAUGCCACUGCAUGGUGGUGUGUGGAAAGGGUUUUGCUGGUUUUGGAUGGGCUCACGGCCUAUCAGCUUGUUGGUGGGGUAAUGGCCUACCAAGGCGACGACGGGUAGCCGGCCUGAGAGGGUAACCGGCCACACUGGGACUGAGACACGGCCCAGACUCCUACGGGAGGCAGCAGUGGGGAAUAUUGCACAAUGGGCGGAAGCCUGAUGCAGCGACGCCGCGUGAGGGAUGACGGCCUUCGGGUUGUAAACCUCUUUCAGCACGGAAGAAGCGAGAGUGACGGUACGUGCAGAAGAAGCGCCGGCUAACUACGUG
rnacentral:rRNA from 1 species